UUUGACCUGAGCUCAGUCGAGAUCACCCGCUGAACUUAAGCAUAUCAGUAAGCGGAGGAAAAGAAACUAAAUAGGAUUC
rnacentral:rRNA from 1 species